CGCUGAUGCUAUCGAUCCAGGGAGCACACUUGGAGUGUCCCUGCCCUGCCUUCUCGAUUGAGGUAGCACCUGGAAAAUGAUGUUAACAUCAGAACUUACGUGAUAGAGCUGUUGUCCCAGAUAAAUGAGAUAACAUGUGACAUUAUUAGGAUAGCUGCUGACAUUUGUAAAUUCUCAAUAAGUGGUAGCCACUGUUAUGGUGUGAGUCACCACGCACAUCACACAUACGAUGUGCUUCUUACAUUAUCAGAAGAUGAACAUGGUGAAUGGAAGCAGGACCGUUUGCUUUACAGAAAGCCAAUUUCAGGAGUCCAUGGCUACCAGCAGAGAGCACACGAAAUCAAGAAGGAACGCCAGAAUUGCUACUUCUUCAAUGUGCCUCCUUCAAGACUGCAACCACCUAGAAUUGGCCAAGCUCAGCGCCAGGGACCAGGGCAUGGAGACACAGCCCCUGCUGGAAAUCCAGAGAUGUCAGAACCUGGACUCUGCUUUUGGAGGAGGCCAUUACACCUUGAAGAGCUUCUCCAGGAAGAUCCCAGCACCCAGCUCAGAGCCAGUCCUCAGGCCUUGAAGAAGUCCCAAGUCCACUACAGGGAGGCCUGUGGCUGCCCUGUCCUGCUAAGCCAUGAUGCACACACAGAGCACAGCACAGAUUUCUCCUCACAGCAAGGUGCACUUCCUCACCUUCUCUGGCACGUCAUUCCUUCCUGUAGAACAGUUUCCAUCAGGUAUCAUUUCCCUUCAGCCUGAAGAAUUUCCUUUACAUUUCUUACAGUUCAGGUUUAUUGGCAAGGGAUUUUCUCAGCUGUUAUGCAACUGUAAUUACA
ensembl:lincRNA